ensembl:snRNA U4 U4 spliceosomal RNA
AGCAUUGCACCGUGGAAGUAUGGUAGCCAAUGAGGUUUACCUGAGGUGUGAUUAUUGCUAACUGAAAACUUUUCCCAAUACUCCACCAUGAUGACUUAUAACAUAGUAUUGGCAAUUUUUGAGAAUCUCUAUGGAGA